UCCGUAGGCGGAUUGAUAAGUCAGAGGUGGAAUCCCACAGCUUAACUGUGGAACUGCCUUUGAAACUGUUAGUCUUGAGUUAUAUGGAAGUAGAUAGAAUGUGUAGUGUAGCGGUGAAAUGCAUAGAGAUUACACAGAAUACCGAUUGCGAAGGCAGUCUACUACGUAUAUACUGACGCUAAUGGACGAAAGCGUGGGGAGCGAACAGGAUUAGAUACCCUGGUAGUCC
rnacentral:rRNA from 1 species